AGAGUUUGAUCCUGGCUCAGGACGAACGCUGGCGGCGUGCUUAAUACAUGCAAGUCAUAGGGGCUAAUUUCCUUCGGGAGAUUGGUCACUGGCGCACGGGUGCGUAACGCGUAAGUUAUCUGCCCUUGGGUCUGGCAUAACGUCGGGAAACCGGCGCUAAUUCCAGAUGAUAUCGUAAGAUCAAAGCCUUCGGGCGCCCAAGGAUGAGCUUGCGUCUGAUUAGCUUGUUGGCGGGGUAAUGGCCCACCAAGGCAACGAUCAGUAGCCGGUCUGAGAGGAUGAUCGGCCACAUUGGGACUGAGACACGGCCCAGACUCCUACGGGAGGCAGCAGUAAGGAAUAUUGCGCAAUGGACGAAAGUCUGACGCAGCAACGCCGCGUGCAGGAUGAAGGCCCUUUGGGUUGUAAACUGCUGUAGAAAGGGAAUAAUAGUUUGCCACGGGUGAACUUGAAGGUACCUUUAAAGUAAGCGCCGGCUAACUACGUGCCAGCAGCCGCGGUAAUACGUAGGGCGCAAGCGUUGUCCGGAUUCACUGGGUGUAAAGGGUGCGCAGGCGGAUUGGCAAGUCAGAGGUGAAAUCUCACGGCUCAACCGUGAAACUGCCUUUGAUACUGCUUAUCUUGAGUUCGGGAGAGGUUGAUGGAAUUCCAGGUGUAGCGGUGAAAUGCGUAGAUAUCUGGAAGAACACCAGUGGCGAAGGCGGUCAACUGGCCCGCAACUGACGCUCAUGCACGAAAGCGUGGGGAUCAAACAGGAUUAGAUACCCCGGUAGU
rnacentral:rRNA from 1 species